GGUUAAGUUAGAAAGGGCGCACGGUGGAUGCCUUGGCACUAGGAGCCGAAGAAGGACGGGACUAACACCGAUAUGCUUUGGGGAGCUGUACGUAAGCGUUGAUCCAGAGAUUUCCGAAUGGGGGAACCCACUAUCUUUAGUCGGAUAGUAUCCUUACGUGAAUACAUAGCGUAAGGAAGGCAGACCCAGGGAACUGAAACAUCUAAGUACCUGGAGGAAGAGAAAGAAAAAUCGAUUUCCUGAGUAGCGGCGAGCGAAACGGAAAGAGCCCAAACCAAGAAGCUUGCUUCUUGGGGUUGUAGGACACUCUAUACGGAGUUACAAAAGAAAGUUAUAAAUGAAGCGGUCUGGAAAGGCCCGCCAAAGACGGUAACAGCCCGGUAGUUGAAAUGGCUUUCCCUCCAGAGUGGAUCCUGAGUACGGCGGAACACGUGAAAUUCCGUCGGAAUCCGGGAGGACCAUCUCCCAAGGCUAAAUACUCCCUAGUGACCGAUAGUGAACCAGUACCGUGAGGGAAAGGUGAAAAGCACCCCGGAAGGGGAGUGAAACAGUUCCUGAAACCGUGUGCCUACAAGUAGUUAGAGCCCGUUAAUGGGUGAUAGCGUGCCUUUUGUAGAAUGAACCGGCGAGUUACGAUUUGUUGCAAGGUUAAGCGGAAAAAGCGGAGCCGUAGCGAAAGCGAGUCUGAAUAGGGCGCAUAAGUAACAGGUCGUAGACCCGAAACCAGGUGAUCUACCCAUGUCCAGGAUGAAGGUAAGGUAAUACUUACUGGAGGUCCGAACCCACGCACGUUGAAAAGUGCGGGGAUGAGGUGUGGGUAGCGGAGAAAUUCCAAUCGAACUUGGAGAUAGCUGGUUCUCUCCGAAAUAGCUUUAGGGCUAGCCUCGAGGUAAAGAGUCAUGGAGGUAGAGCACUGUUUGGACUAGGGGCCCUUCUCGGGUUACCGAAUUCAGAUAAACUCCGAAUGCCAUGUACUUAUACUCGGGAGUCAGACUGCGAGUGAUAAGAUCCGUAGUCGAAAGGGAAACAGCCCAGACCACCAGUUAAGGUCCCCAAAUAUAUGUUAAGUGGAAAAGGAUGUGGGGUUGCUUAGACAACCAGGAUGUUGGCUUAGAAGCAGCCACCAUUGAAAGAGUGCGUAAUAGCUCACUGGUCGAGUGACCCCGCGCCGAAAAUGUACCGGGGCUAAACAUAUUACCGAAACUGUGGAUGAACCUCUUC
rnacentral:rRNA from 1 species